rnacentral:rRNA from 1 species
UACGUAGGGCGCAGGCGUUGUCCGGAAUUAUUGGGCGUAAAGAGCUCGUAGGCGGUCCGUUACGUCGGGAGUGAAAACCCGGGGCUCAACCCCGGGCUUGCUUUCGAUACGGGCAGACUAGAGUAUGGCAGGGGAGACUGGAAUUCCUGGUGUAGCGGUGAAAUGCGCAGAUAUCAGGAGGAACACCGGUGGCGAAGGCGGGUCUCUGGGCCAUUACUGACGCUGAGGCGCGAAAGCUAGGGGAGCAAACGGG